rnacentral:lncRNA from 1 species
CGGCUCGAACAUGUGACCUCCUAAUUAUGUGGCAACAACUUUAGCAGUUACUUCUUACCCAAACAGUAAAUUGAUGCAAAAAAUUACAUGAAAUAACUUUUUAAUUAUUGAAUAAAAAAAAGGAAGAUCAGUAUUAGGUGAAAGGCGUACCAGAGAGGAGGAGGAAAGUGAGAACAACGACUUUGCUAUUAGUCAUGCUUGUUUAG